rnacentral:rRNA from 1 species
CCUACGGGGGGCAGCAGUAGGGAAUAUUGCUCAAUGGGGGAAACCCUGAAGCAGCAACGCCGCGUGGAGGAUGAAGGUUUUCGGAUUGUAAACCCCUUUUGUCAGGGAAGAUAAUGACGGUAUCUAACGAAUAAGCACCGGCUAACUCCGUGCCAGCAGCCGCGGUAAUACGGCGGGUGCAAGCGUUACUCGGAAUCACUGGGCGUAAAGAGGGCGUAGGCGGGAUAGCAAGUCAGAUGUGAAAUCCUAUGGCUUAACCCUAGAACUGCAUUUGAAACUGUGAUUCUAGAGUAUGGGAGAGGUAGGUGGAAUGCUUGGUGUAGGGGUAAAAUGCGUAGAGAUCAAGAGGAAUACUCAUUGCGAAGGCGACCUGCUAGAGCAUAACUGACGCUGAUGCGCGAAAGCGUGGGGAGCGAACAGGAUUAGAUACCCGAGUAGUC